AUCUCGAAAAACCUAGUCUAGAACAAAAAUGAUAAAAUUUAAAAUAUAGGUAGUACAAGCGCCUAGCGUUGUUUUAAGGCAACGGCUGGGUUACAACAGGCACUGACAAGUAGUUAUUGAUCAAUUCAUAUAAAUUAUUUAAAAUAUGUUUUGUUAGAAGUAUAAUCAACACAAAUUUAACAUAUAUAAAUAAUUAGUUUCAUUUAUA
rnacentral:lncRNA from 1 species